rnacentral:rRNA from 1 species
AUCCAGACUCCUACGGGAGGCAGCAGUGGGGAAUAUUGCACAAUGGGGGGAACCCUGAUGCAGCGACGCCGCGUGGGCGAGGAAGUAUUUCGGUAUGUAAAGCCCUAUCGGCAGGGAAGAAGAAAUGACGGUACCUGAAUAAGAAGCACCGGCUAAAUACGUGCCAGCAGCCGCGGUAAUACGUAGGGGGCAAGCGUUAUCCGGAUUUACUGGGUGUAAAGGGGGCGCAGACGGCAGCGCAAGCCAGGAGUGAAAGCCCGGGGCCCAACCCCGGGACUGCUCUUGGAACUGCGCGGCUGGAGUACGGGAGGGGCAGGCGGAAUUCCUGGUGUAGCGGUGAAAUGCGUAGAUAUCAGGAGGAACACCGGCGGCGAAGGCGGCCUGCUGGACCGUGACUGACGUUGAGGCUCGAGAGCGUGGGGAGCAAACAGGAUUAGAUACCCGUGUA